rnacentral:rRNA from 1 species
CAGAGGGGGCAAGCGUUAUUCGGAAUUAUUGGGCGUAAAGGGCGCGUAGGCGGCCUGGCAAGUGGAAGGUGAAAUCCCUCGGCUUAACCGAGGAACUGCCUCCCAAACUGCUUGGCUUGAGACCAGGAGAGGUGAGUGGAAUUCCCAGUGUAGCGGUGAAAUGCGUAGAUAUUGGGAGGAACACCAGUGGCGAAGGCGGCUCACUGGACUGGUACUGACGCUGAGGCGCGAAAGCGUGGGGAGCAAACGGGAUUAGAUACCCCGGUAGUCCACGCCGUAAACGAUGAGUGCUUGGUGUAGCGGGUAUCGACCCCUGCUGUGCCGAAGUCAACACAUUAAGCACUCCGCCUGGGGAGGUACGGUCGCAAGGCUG